rnacentral:rRNA from 1 species
CUGGGCUUGACAUGUGCGGAAAUCCUACGAAAGUAGGCUCCGGGGCAACCCGGCCGCAACACAGGUGCUGCAUGGCUGUCGUCAGCUCGUGCCGUGAGGUGUUGGGUUAAGUCCCGCAACGAGCGCAACCCUUGUCUUGUGUUGGUCCGCAAGGAUCUCUCACAAGAGACCGCCGGUGAGAAGCCGGAGGAAGGUGGGGAUGACGUCAAGUCAGCAUGGCCCUUACGUCCAGGGCUACACACGUGCUACAAUGCGCGCGACAACGAGCUGCGAACCCGCGAGGGCAAGCCAAUCUCAUAAACGCGCGCUCAGUUCGGAUUGAAGGCUGCAACUCGCCUUCAUGAAGUCGGAAUCGCUAGUAAACGCAGAUCAGCUACGCUGCGUUGAAUACGUUCC